GACGAACGCUGGCGGCGUGCUUAACACAUGCAAGUCGAACGGAAAGGCCCCUUUGGGGGUACUCGAGUGGCGAACGGGUGAGUAACACGUGAGUAACCUGCCCUUGACUUCGGGAUAACUUCAGGAAACUGGGGCUAAUACCGGAUAGGAAUCCUUGCUGCAUGGUGGGGGUUGGAAAGCUUCGGCGGUUUUGGAUGGACUCGCGGCUUAUCAGCUUGUUGGUGGGGUAGUGGCUUACCAAGGCUUUGACGGGUAGCCGGCCUGAGAGGGCGACCGGCCACAUUGGGACUGAGAUACGGCCCAGACUCCUACGGGAGGCAGCAGUGGGGAAUAUUGCACAAUGGGCGGAAGCCUGAUGCGGCAACGCCGCGGGCGGGAGGACGGCCUUCGGGUUGUAAACCGCUUUCAGCAGGGGCGAAGCUUGUGGUGACGGUACCUGCAGAAGAAGCACCGGCUAACUACGUG
rnacentral:rRNA from 1 species